GAUUUCUUCAGAUUCGAUAGUGUGAAUUUCCCUAUUUGGUCAUGCCUCAAAAUUUUCCCUGAGUUGUUCAGACCUCUUCCCUUUGGGUGUUAUUUUAUUUCUGUGCUUAUGUCCACAAAGUCCUACUGGUCAUGUUGUGCUUCAAGGGCACGUGGAGGAUUCCAUUGUCAAGUUCACACGCAUGACUUAUUUGUCCCGGUGGUUAUUCUGUCAGAGUGUAAAAUGCUUGAUUUACAAAGGCGGGGGGACCUGCUGCAGAGCCAGUUCCGGAAUGGGAGCGGUAAGCACGAGGAAACAAUUACUUUCUGCAGCGAUGUGAGCACUGUGCCCAUCUGGAUUGAGUUACUUCGUAAGGAGGAGAGCAUGUUUGUGUCUAUUUCUUCCUUAAAGACCGGCAGGCAAGGCUAUUUUUUGAUCUGGACAUCUGCCUGCUGAGGCAAGUUUCCCAGCACCAUCACUGGUUGGCAUUAGACUACGUUUGCAAAAUUUAACAUCGAGUGAAUGACAAAAGACAAGACGCGGUCUAUGAAAAUUAAAGAGUGGCAGGAUCCAUUCCCUGCAGAUAAAUAAUGUCUGAUGCUCUCCCGUAUUUCCACAUCCUACAGUUUUCUUUCCGGAUGGUUUUGAUAUGAGAAAGGUAAAAUUGUUUCAAGGAAGCCAGUAAAUUUGGGUCAAAAAUGAAAGCAGUUCUGAAGACAGUAAGAGUGGGGAUGGAAGCGUUGAGUG